UCCCUGAAGGAAGAGUGCGGAGGGUGUA
rnacentral:piRNA from 1 species